UCAGGGGCCUUGGUGGCGGCUGCUGCCUUUGCAGACGGUGGGGAAUUCUUAAGGAGUGUCCAGCAAGCAGCGGGAACGUGCCACAGGCUGUGGGCAGAGCUGGCAGAAGGCACAUCCAGCCACCCUCCAGAGGGUGAGGAAGGGCCCACCCCAGCCCGGUGCUCCAAGCCCACAUCCUCUAGUGCAGCCCUCCCUGGAAUUAUGACUGUGGGGUGCAGAUCCCCCUCUUUGGGGGGUGUCUCUGGCCGGGGACCUCAGCUGCUAUCCCGGCCUCCAGGAGGGAGGGUGCAAAGCCACCCCAUGAGUCACCGUGCCCACUUCCGGCCACAUAGAGCCCUCGGCUGAGUCACCGGCCCCCCAAAGAGAAAGACUGGCCACGAGGCCGGAAAGCUGGAGACCCACGGCGGCAGGAGCAGGGGUGCUGGCGCUGCGGGGCCGCGGGGCUGUUCUCUCCCAUGGCCAAGGCUGAUAGAAGAGUCGCAAAAGUACCAGAAACCAGUUCCCAGCGCUCUUCCCCGGAGACCCCGAAGGCAACUUGUUACCAGUUCGCUCGUGUUACUGUUUCUUUCUCUGCGGUCUCCUUCCUGGGCCAUUUGAGGAUGCUGGUGCCUAACAAAGGAUGUCACCCAGGCAACCAGGCCUGCGGGCACGGAGGCUGCCCAUCCCGCUGGACCAGGGGCCGGAGCCCAUAGGAGGCUCCCGGGGGAGAGCCACGAAUGUCACUGCAGAGCAAAUCAGUAAACACAGAUACACCUAGGGCCCUCUCAGCCCAAGGCCCUCCCAAGGAUCCCUGCACAGCGAGGAGGUGAUUCAUGGCCCCACCUCCUCUCUUCUCUCCCCAUCCCUCCUCUCCCCUUCCCUUCCCUUCCCAUCUCUUUAUUUUCUUCCUUCCCUCAACCCCAUUUUCCCUUCCCUCCAUCCCUCCCUGUUUCCCAGGUGUUCAAUCUUGCCCUCCCCCCAGCCCAGGAACCAUGUCCCCACCCUCUCGGUGGCAGGUGGCCUUGGCAUGACUGAGACCAGAGGGCUGUUUUUGCAUGGAGUGAGCUCCCCUGGGGCCCAGCAUAGCCAUAUCCUCACACUCUCUGGCUGGAGACCCUGGGUCAUUUUAGGCAGUGGUUCUAUGGAAGGAGGGGGGAGAGGGGAGAGAUUUGGGGCCUCUUCUAACGGACCACAUCUGCUUCCUUGGAAUUUCUCUGCCGGUUUGCCAGCCCCUUUGUCUACACAUGGUCCUGGGCAGAGACAGCUGGUAUCCUGGGGCUGGGCAUGGCUUCCAUGAACCUCUGGGCUCUGGUGGUGGGUUGUGUUAGCAGCACCCCCAUGGCCGCCACGAUGUCCAGCGCAGGAUGGACACAGUGGCCACCUGCUCGGAUCUGCCCCAAGCCAUCACCGGCCAGUGGAGCCUGGCUUUCUUCUCGUCCAGCUCAGCUGCAUGACCCUCUCUCUCCUUGCUUCCCUCCUGGGGAUGGGAGAGGGGGUGGAUGGGGGAACUUCCGAUGAACUCUGGCCUGGAUGAUGAGAAUUCCUGAAGCCAGGAUGUUCUGUGGGAAAGAGCUAGAAGGGAGAGGCAAGCUGCAGCGGGCAUGCUGGCUCUGGGGUCAUGACUGCAGGACAGAAGCAGGGAGCUGGCACCUUCCACCCCCGACCGCGGAAAGGCCCUGGGAUGCCCCAUGGGGGGAAGGCAGACCACAGUCAGACCAUGCAUUUAUCCAGGCUGGCCCGCCCCGCAGUGCACCCCAAUUCUCAGCCUGACACUGGGAGUGCCAAAGUCCUCCUCUGACAUAUGGAGAGAUCAACACAUGGCCAGAAGGACUGGGUUGGAGGCUGGGGGCAGACCUAGGUCGGGGGCGGCGGGGGACAGGGUGUCCACAGCCAGGGGUCUGGGAGCACAGCUGCCACUGGCUGUGUUGAGUGAAGUGGCAGCUCAGAUGGACGGCUGGGAAGGGGCAGGCCGUGACCACAGAAUUGGGAGAUCCAGCAUCACUGGGUCUAGUCCUGAGAAGGCAGAAUUCGAGCCCAGAAUUGAGGCACAAAGAAUAUCACACCCCCUCCCCACCGGGGAAAAACAGGAAACUUUGGGAGAACAGAGGAUGAGGAGAGCUUUAUCAGCGCCCACAAUACCAGGGAUGAAGGUCGGGGGUAGGGGUGUUCCCUGACCCCCGGAGUAGCCUAGCCACAUCCCCAGAGGCUUGCAACUGGGCCCUUGUCCCCCAUCUGCCCAGGGAAUGGUGUACAGGUUCGACUCCUGCCUCUGCCCCAGCCAGCUGGGUUACCCUGGGCAAGUUACUUAACUUUUCUGGGCCUUGAAACCUCCUCUAGAAAAUGGGCAUAAGAGCUAUGUUUCACUCAGAGGUCGUAAGCAUGCAAGGAGACAAUAUGGGGAACCACGUUUAAUUGACACUUACUGAACUCUCAGUGUGUGUCGGGCUCUGAGCCAGGCUGGGUAUUAGGAGAGAGGUAGAACGGGGAAUCGUGGGUGUGUCCAACGGGAAGCUCUCACCUGGUCCAGGGAGGGGUGAGUCAGCGGCCCUGCUAGUAGAAGUGACCCAAGGGGGCAUUGUAGAGCGGGGCGGCCUGUAGUGCGGCCCCGUGGAACAGCACCACAGCCCUGAGGCCAAAUCCAGCCCGUGUCUAUUCUGGUUCAGCCUGUGAACAAAGAACGGGUUUUACAUUUUCAGAUGGUCGCAGAACAAAAAUUGAGAGAAUACUAGUUCCUGGCACAUGCGAAUGACAUGAAGUUCAAGUUCUAAUACCCAUAAAGUUUUAUUAGGACAAAGCCAAAGGCAUUUGUUUGCAAAUUGUGAGUCGUCUGGGGCUGCUUUUGUGCUGCAGAGGCCGAA